CCUGUCUCAGAUACUUACCUGUAUAUACCUGUGGGAGGAAGAAGAAAAAGGUGUGUCCACCUAGAAUAAUUUGUUUGCUGGAAGUUCUGUUGUUGGCAGAAAAUGGAAGCUACAAACUAGUGUGGUUAUCAGCAGGGAAUGGGAUCAAAGUUUCAGUCCAACAAGUCCAGGCAACUUUCAGCUUGAAGGCCAAGGUGUUACUACUUAGAAUUUAGGGCACAGAAGGCUGGUGUGUGUCGGCAGUGAUAUUUGGGAGAAUGAGUCUGUUUGGGAGACACUUUAGGUCAUACCAGCAGCAGCUGCUGACAUAUGAACCUCGCAGAUGAAGAUGCCAUAGCAUGGCUAUUUCUCGACUGCACUGCUGAAGAUCUGCACAGGAAGCACAAAGCUCUGGUUACCACUGGAAGCCGUCUUGCCCCCAUAAACCAGCCUUAGGAUGCCACUGAUGCUGUAUGGCAGAAUGGAGUAACAGAGAGAAGAUUUCUUUCCAGGUGUAAUUGUCGAGUUUUGGGAGAAACUUUACUAAAUGCCAUAAGAGAAGAAAUGUCUUGUCACCCUUGGGGAAGUUUGCAGAAUAAAGAAGGGACAAUGCAGUCACCAGGUCAGCAUUAAGGGAAGGCUUGGCUGCAUCAUCUGCCACUCUGCUGCUGCUGACUCUGCCAGUGGGGACAGCACAUGCUUCCUUCUACGCUUGCCUGAGGUUCGUAACUUCAGAGCCCCACAGCAUUUCUGGAAGGAGUAAAAUGAGCUACAUGGUCCGGGAAGCUACUCCUAAGUAGAGUUCACAAUCAAAGGAAUAGAAGCUGGGGAAAACAAUAAAGCAGUCUUCUUCUUCUCAA
rnacentral:lncRNA from 1 species